rnacentral:rRNA from 1 species
GAUGAACGCUGGCGGCGUGCUUAACACAUGCAAGUCGAACGGUGAACACGGAGCUUGCUCUGUGGGAUCAGUGGCGAACGGGUGAGUAACACGUGAGCAACCUGCCCCUGACUCUGGGAUAAGCGCUGGAAACGGCGGCUAAUACUGGAUAUGUGACGUGAUCGCAUGGUCUGCGUCUGGAAAGAAUUUCGGUUGGGGAUGGGCUCGCGGCCUAUCAGCUUGUUGGUGAGGUACUGGCUCACCAAGGCAUCGACGGGUAGCCGGCCUGAGAGGGUGACCGGCGACACUGGGACUGAGACACGGCACAGACUCCUACGGGACGCAGCAGUGGAGAAUAUUACACAAUGGGCGCAAGCCUGAUGCAGCAACGCCGCGUGAGGGAUGACGGCCUUCGGGUUGUAAACCUCUUUUAGCAGGGAAGAAGCGAAAGUGACGGUACCUGCAGAAAAAGCGCCGGCUAACUACGUG